CUUACGUUUUUGCGCCCGCGGUCCUUGUCUUUUGCGGUCGCAUUCCUGAUCUCUAUUUUUAACUGGAUGCUGUCAUAAGGACAGAAACAUCCCCCUCCCGAAUGUAAAAACAUUCGAACCCAACUAACAAAACUAGUUAAUAUAUAACUGCGACGUGGUCCAUGUCUUAGGUAACUGUCCGAGCGUUAUGAAUUGUCUCCUGCGUAUUCAAAAGUGCACAACCGGUGCACCGGACGCAAGUAUUCACCGUCUUUCGUUUUUAUCCUUACAACCCGUACCAAUCCGUCAUUUCCAGGAAAUACUUCGAUAACUCGACCAAGAGGCCAUUCUCCUCUCUCUGCAUUCGGCUCUACUAACAUUACGUCGUCCUCCUUUAGGUUGUGUGUCGGAUGAAACCACUUCUUUCGUGUAUUUAAGCUCGGCAGAAACUCUCCUCCAGCGUUUCCAAAACUGCCCCACCAACUGCUGUACACGAUGCCAACGCUUUCGGGGGUUGAAAACUUCAUCUCUAUCUGCGGUUUCAGGAGCAAACUUUCCUCCCAACUGUCCGAUAAGGAAAUGACUCUGGGUCAACGGGGAAAGAUCAUCAGGAUCUGAACUGACGAAGGUGAUUGGUCGUGAGUUUAAUAAACGUUCUGCAUCGCAAAUGGCAGUAUGAAGUUCCUCGUCGGUAAUGUCCGCAUUACCAAGAAUGGCUUUUAUGGCUUUCUUAGCACUCUUGAUCAUUGCCUCGAAUACACCACCGAAGUGUGGGGCCGAUGGGGGAUUGAACUUCCACUCCAUGUCAUAAUCUUGUGUUGUCUUAUUUGCUAUUUUUUCUUGAUCAAAUGCUUCUACAAACUCUCAAAGUUCUCGUUCCGCUCCAAUAAAGUUGGUACCGUUAUCAGAAACUACGUAUGUCGGCUUCCCCCUCCUUGUUACCAUCCUGGUAAGGGACUGGUCAUAAAGUAACUGCUAGGGUGGGCUGGAGGUAAAUCACAAAUUUUGCCAAUAAGUUUGGUGACCCAUCUUAGGAUGUAGAUAAAAAUUUCAAAGCCCAUCUAAUCUUACAAAAAAAUUUUCAUGACCCACCCAAUUUAAAUUGGGAAAAUACACUUUUAUAAUAAAAAAAACAAACUUGCAGGUAUGAACAUUGUAAAUAUACACCGGCACUGUAUUGACACACAUAAUUCCACCAAGCUUGACCAACACAUUCAUCACCAAUUACGAUAAUGAGCUGCUCUCCAGUUGGUUGUAUUUGCUAUGAUUCAACCACUUCUUGUUGUUGUAUAAACAAAGUACUGGCUUCAAUAGUAUCAUUUGCAUUUGAUAAUUUGGAUAGUUUUGUUUACUUUUAUUAUUAAUAUCUUUAUUUUUGAAGUAGACACUGCAUGCAUGGGUUUUUGUUUGGUGGCCCAACCGUGGACAUACAAAAAAAUUGGCGGCCCAUCGAAACUGCGCAAAGAUUUUCCAUGGCCCAUCCCAAAUCACUCCAGCCCACCCUAGCAGUUACUUUAUGACCGGUCCCUAAACGCGUUUACAAAGGAAUCGGUAUCCAGGGAAUACGCCAUUUCCAAAUGUACAGCCCGUGUAGUAAGACAAGUAAAUAGACACAGGUAACGUUUUGCUCUUGUCUUGCCUCUUCCCUGUUUGGUCAAGUAUGGUCCGCCGUAAUCCACACCAACGCGUUCAAAGGCUCGUAAGGGGUAUUGCAAUCUUGACAUCGGUAACGGAGUCAUCAUUUGAGUAGUUGGUUUUCCGGUGAAUCGUCUACGACAGCCAGGACACUUUUCAAUCGUAUUUCGCACAGUUCGUCUUCCUUUGAUUAUCCAGAAUCGGGCACGCAGCUCAGUUAGAACAUGUUCAACACCAGAACCGUGUCCGAGAUUCUCGUGUGCACUUAUAAUUAUCAGACGUGUUACAGUAUGAUCUUUGGGUAAUAAAAUGGGAUGUCUAACACCAUAUGGCACGUCAGUGGCGUUGCGUAAUCGGCCGUCAGAUCGUAAUAAACCAUUCUCGUCUUUCUUUGGAUUUAAUUGAAUCAAACACUUUUCUUUCACACCGUCGGGAAACGCCUCGCUCUGUGUUCGUUUAAAGCAAUAUGUCUCUGCUUGCUGUAAUUCUUGUGCUCGGAGCGUCCGACUUUUUUCUCGGUUUUCGUUAGGCUGUUUGCAAUUACUCAGGAAACGUCGAACCCAUCCGGUGACGCGCACUAAUCUUUGAAAGCUCGAGAAACGAUUUGGAUCAAUGAGACUUUGGUUUGAACUGUCCCUUGUUGUGUGAGUAACGUUAACCUUUCGUCUUUCGCCUUCGACAAUAUUUCUCUGAACUUCUUCGUUGGGGAUUUGAGGGGGCCAUGUUGACUCGUCUUGUUGUAGAAUUUCUGGUCCCUUCUUCCACAAUUCGUUGUUUGCUAGGUCUGUGGCUGACAAUCCUCUUGUUGGCAGGUCUGCUGGAUUCGACUCUCCAGG